UACAGAGGUCUCAAGCGUUGUUCGGAUUCAUUGGGCGUAAAGGGUGCGUAGGUGGCGCCGUAAGUGGGGUGUGAAAUCUCGGGGCUUAACUCCGAAACUGCAUUCCAUACUGCGGUGCUUGAGGACUGGAGAGGAGACUGGAAUUCAUGGUGUAGCAGUGAAAUGCGUAGAUAUCGUAAGGAAGACCGGUGGCGAAGGCUAGUCUCUGGACAGUUACUGACACUGAGGCACGAAGGCCAGGGGAGCAAACGGG
rnacentral:rRNA from 1 species